AAUACAUCGGAACGUGCCUAGUAGUGGGGGAUAACUACUCGAAAGAGUGGCUAAUACCGCAUGAGAUCUACGGAUGAAAGCAGGGGAUCGCAAGACCUUGUGCUACUAGAGCGGCCGAUGGCAGAUUAGGUAGUUGGUGGGAUAAAAGCUUACCAAGCCGACGAUCUGUAGCUGGUCUGAGAGGACGAUCAGCCACACUGGGACUGAGACACGGCCCAGACUCCUACGGGAGGCAGCAGUGGGGAAUUUUGGACAAUGGGCGCAAGCCUGAUCCAGCCAUGCCGCGUGCAGGAUGAAGGCCUUCGGGUUGUAAACUGCUUUUGUACGGAACGAAAAGACUCUGGUUAAUACCUGGGGUCCAUGACGGUACCGUAAGAAUAAGCACCGGCUAACUACGUGCCAGCAGCCGCGGUAAUACGUAGGGUGCAAGCGUUAAUCGGAAUUACUGGGCGUAAAGCGUGCGCAGGCGGUUAUAUAAGACAGAUGUGAAAUCCCCGGGCUCAACCUGGGAACUGCAUUUGUGACUGUAUAGCUAGAGUACGGCAGAGGGGGAUGGAAUUCCGCGUGUAGCAGUGAAAUGCGUAGAUAUGCGGAGG
rnacentral:rRNA from 1 species